CGUUUAGUGUUCUUCGUUCUUGUUGAUCGAGCGAGGAAGAGUGUUUAGAGAGAGAACUACAGUUAUGCAAGCUGAUGAUUCCAAUGGGUUUUCUUGUCUGAAAGAUUGGAUCAUAUUCCUGACUGUGAGGUCAACAGUUGCAGUGAUUGUCUCUGAGAGGAGAAUCGAUGGUGGUGGAGUCUGUGAUUUCUUUCACGCCACAGUUCAUAAAUCGUGGCCUGCCAUGCUGCUAUGCUAGGAUACUAAGAUACCAGCGAUGCCUAUCUCCUGUGAGAGAAAUCAAGAUGAGUGUCAGAGCAAUCAAGAGUGCUGUUGAGACGAAGCUUUAAAGCUAGUGGUCCCCAAAUCAGAGAAGAGAAAGGGCAUCCGAAGAAGAUAUGAUCACACGACUCAUGGAAUGAGUUACAGAGAAGACACAUCGGAUCCGUUUCAAUAUCCCAGGCACGUGAGGACCAGAUGCAUUACAUCCGGUUCGUUGGAGAGAACCAGAGCAGUCAAGUGGAUAUGGAGAGCUUCCAUUUACAAUGAUCUGGCUGGUGAUAACCUCCAAGAAUGGCCAUUCCAUAGAGAGGCUAGAGUGGCCGAGAGCGGAAUACCUAAUUGUCUCGGACCUUGGGGUCAUAUGAAGCUGGUCAGAGUGCCAAAAGGGGACCACGGGGUUGUCCAAAACCGACAGGAACUUCCAUUAUCAGGCUGUCCAUAUUGACUCUGGUUUGAAGAAAAGCGUCCAAAGGAGCUGGAGGAGACAUGUUCUGUUCCAGACUCAAAUAUUUUUGAGGCCUAACCCACCUUCUGAUUUAGGACUAGUAACAGAGUCUCAGGCUACUCUAGCGUUGUAUCUACCAUCCAGUGAUCCCUUCCAAAGGAGAGGCUCACAAUUGAGUAGGAAAAGUUUCUUUGUGUUUAGAGGGAGACCCAAAUAUCUUAUGGGGAGGAAACCUUGAGCAAUACGUGAGGAGGUGAUAAGGACAGAAGUUUCAUCAAUAUUUAGACCAGCUGAGAAGAAACAAGAUUUUCCACGCUUAUUGCAAGGCCUGUGAUCGCUUGGAACUCUGAGAGAACCGUCAAGACCCCUUGAAUUGAUGGCAAUGAUUCGUUAGUGAAGAUAAGGAUAUCAUCCGCAAAGCACAAAUGUAAUGUUCAUUGCCAGACCAAAGAUAUAUGGACUGAGCGGAUCACCCUGACGGAUGCCACGAGUACCUCGAAAGAAACCAUGGAGGGAUCCAUUAAUGCCCACUGAGUAUGCGGUGGAGGUGAGACACUCCUUUAUUUGUGCAACGAAAGAGUGAGGCAUGUUCAAAGAGUUCAAGCAAGCUAUUAUGAAAUCCCACUUUAUGGAAUCAAAUGCCUUUGCAAUAUCCACCUUCAAGAUAAGUCUCUUUGGCCCUAUGUUUUUGUGGUCUCCACUGAUUAUUUCGGAUGCUAGCAGGCAAUUCUCCAUAAGUAAUCUGCCCUUGAUGAAAGCUGACUGGUUAGGUAAAAUGAUUGCUGGGAUAAUCGGUUUUAGACGACUCACUAGCAUUUUGGCUAUCCCUUUAUAUAGUGUAUUGCAACAUGAUAUUGGCCUAUAAUCCUUGAUUAUAGUUGCUCCUGGGAAUUUAGGAAUGAGGGUGAGAAUAGCCGAGUUUGUAGCUGUUGGCAUAGAGGUUUCUUUAAAAAAAUUCAGAAUUGCCGUAGUAACCUCAUUCCCAAUUACUGUCCAUGAACAGCUGUAGAAUCUUGAAGUAAAUCCAUCCGGUCAUGGGCUUUUAUUAGGAUUUAGCUUGAAUAGCGUUCUCAUAAUUUCAUCUGUUGUUGGCAGGACAUAAAGAGAUGAUCUUUCACGGUCAGAACAGCUGAAUGGAGAUAAAGCUUGGACAGAUUCUAGAAGACCAGGCACAAUCGGGGAGAGCGGAGGAUCAAGAAUAAGCCUGAAGUGAUGCACUGCUAAGAGACCUACAGCUUUAGGGGAAGUUAUAGUGAUGCCGUUGAGGUCAGUGAGAGCAUUGAUUGCAUUGUAAAAACUCCUAGUGACUGAGACUUUGAAGAAGUAGCUUGUGUUUUGAUUGCCCAGAUUAAGCCACUGGAUUCGAGAUUUCUGAUGGAAAUACACAUCCUCAACCUUUUCAGCAUAUUCAGUUUCUCUUUACACAAUUUUUCUUCAAAAGAAGUCGCUUCAGUGGGGUUUGAGAAGGAGAUAACCUGAACGACCUUCAGAUGUUUCAUAGUUUCACCAACUCGUUUUUGUAUCCAUGAGAAAUUAUUUUUGUUGAGACUUCUCAAGGUUUUUUUUAGCACUUUCUGCAUUUUGCUGAGGCGAGAUAAAGACCAGCCAGCUUGGUCAGAAGAUUCCCAUCCAGAGAUGACCGAGUGCAGUAAGCCUGGAUGAUUCGUUAGAUAGUUGAAGAACUUAAACGGCUUCGAGCCAGCAAUAGGCAAGGCACAGUUUAAGUUCACAAGCCCUGGAGAAUGAUCAAAGAAGUCUGUUGCAAGAAAGUGAGCUAGACUUGCCAGAAAAGAAAGAAUCCAAGAUUCAUUUGAGAGGAUUUUGUCCAGCUUCUUAGCAGUGGGGGACAAAGGCCGCUUGUUAGACCAUGUAAAGAUGGGACCAUGGUAUCGAAGAUCCCGGAUUUAAAGAUCAUCCAAGCAUUGUGUAAAUUCGAUCACGGGAGGAGAAAUGCCAUCGAAGGCUGGAGACGAAUGCUCAGCGUGGUGGAUGAUUUAAUUAAAGUCACCCCCAAAAAUCCAAGGCAAGGCAAGGAGUGAAGCGAGUGCCCAUUUAGCAUGUGCCCAUUUAGCAUGAGGGCAUCUUGCUUCUAAAUGACGGAGUUGCUUGCAGCAAGUGCAAGAAGGAGGAACCCAAGGAUAAGUUACCGAUAUUGGUAUAAUUGAGCCAUCAUCCCAGAGCAGCUCAACCAGUGGAGGGAGAGGCU